rnacentral:rRNA from 1 species
CCUACGGGUGGCAGCAGUCGAGAAUCAUUCACAAUGGGGGAAACCCUGAUGGUGCGACGCCGCGUGGGGGAAUGAAGGUCUUCGGAUUGUAAACCCCUGUCAUGUGGGAGCAAAUUAAAAAGAUAGUACCACAAGAGGAAGAGAUGGCUAAAUCUGUGCCAGCAGCCGCGGUAAUACAGAGGUCUCAAGCGUUGUUCGGAAUCACUGGGCGUAAAGGGUGCGUAGGCUGUUUCGUGAGUCGUGUGUGAAAUGCGCGGGCUCAACCCGCGGACGGCACAUGAUACUGCGAGACUAGAGUAAUGGAGGGGGAACCGGAAUUCUCGGUGUAGCAGUGAAAUGCGUAGAUAUCGAGAGGAACACUCGUGGCGAAGGCGGGUUCCUGGACAUUAACUGACGCUGAGGCACGAAGGCCAGGGGAGCGAAAGGGAUUAGAUACCCUAGUAGUC